rnacentral:rRNA from 1 species
GCUAUCUUAACGGAAUUCCUGUGCAGUACGAGAGGAACCACAGGUACGGACCACUGGCUCAAUACUAGUCCGACCGGACUUUGGUAUGACGCUACGUCCGCUGGAUUAUGCCUGAACGCCUCUAAGGUCGUAGCCAAUCCGAGCUGAUAGC